UGGCUCAGUGGAUAGAGCGUCAGCCUGAAGACUGAAGGGUCCUGGGUUUGAUUCCCAG
rnacentral:tRNA from 1 species